rnacentral:misc_RNA from 1 species
GGACUCGAGUCUCCCAGAAAUUACAAAGCCCAGAAGAAGAGCGCGCGCGCGAGAGAGAGAGAUAGAAACUCGAAAACUGCAAUUGCAGGAGGUGUGAAAAGAUCUAAUAAUAGAAUCAUUUUAGGUUUUCGGAUUUGGAGAGAUCAAACUCUCUCCUGAUUUAAAUCUUCAAUGGCGUUUCGAAGAGCAAACAUUCUCUUUCUGUUAUGCGCUCUAUCGUACGCUCUCACCGCCGUUGCAGGGGAAAGCUAUUACGAUAUAUUGCAAGUGCCGAGGAGCGCAUCGGACGAACAGAUCAAGAGAGCCUAUAGAAAGCUGGCAUUGAAGUACCAUCC